rnacentral:lncRNA from 1 species
AAGCAGGAAAAUAAAUUUAUUUGCUUUACAACACAAGCAGCAAUAUGUAGGGAUAGCUUCAGCCUCAGGUAAAGAUUCAUUCAAAAAUGUUAUCAGGACCCAGGUUCUCUUUCUCCAGCUCUUACAUUCUUCUUUGUGUUGGCUGCAGCCUGGGUGAGUGUCCCCCAAGGAGUCAAGAUAUUGGCAGCUGCUUUUCCCUUCCCUUUCUCAGGUUUAAGUCCAGUAAAUCCAAUGGGAAGAAGAGAAAGUUUCUUCCAAGUAGUCCUGUUUGGGGAUUUUUUUUUUUAACGGAGUCUCACUCUGUCAUCCAGGCUGGAGUGCAAUGGCGGGUCUUGGCUCACUGCAACCUCUGCCUCCAGGGUUCAAAUGAUUCUCCCACCUCAGCCUCUUGAGUAGCUGGGAUUACAGGCAUGCGCCACCAUGCCCAGCUAAUUUUUGUAUUUUUAGUAGAGAUGGGGUUUCACCAUGUUGGUCAGACUGGUCUCAAACUCCUGACCUCGUGAUCUGCCAGCUUUGGCCUCCCAAACUGCUGGGAUUACAGGCGUAAGCCACUGUGUCCAGCCCGUUUGGGGAUUUAUUCUGAUUGGAACCAUGUGUUCUCACUCCAGUCCCUGAACAGGGAAUAAGGGCAGGCUGAUUACCUGACCCUGAUCUCAGGUUCCUCCCCUGGAACCAGGCCUAAAGCCUCACCUAAAGCACUGAAGGGGUUUCCAAAGAGGAAAUCAGGAUGCUGUUACCAAAAGAAAAGGGAGAGAAUGCUGGGUACCCUACAAUAAGAAAUUACCCACCUGAGGCAUUAAACUCAAAUGUCGUCGGGGUCCUGUUUGCAGAAAUUUGGGAACUGACCUAAUGAGAGAUACAGAGAAGAAUGGUUCCUGUGGCCUAAGAGCUGUGCAGUCAUUUUUAAAAAAUGUCAUGAGCCAAACAAAAUCUGUCUGGAGGCCAAAUUGUUUUUGAGAGCCAUCAUAUGCAACUGUUGGCCUGUAUAUUCCUUCUGAAAGUUGAGAAAAUUGGACGGCAUUUAUAUGAUUACGACUAUGUAAACAGUUUUUUAGGGCAGAGUGAGUUAAUGUUUUAAAAUUCUCUAGGAUCCGUGUCAUGUGACACUCAACAAGAAUGUUGCUGGUAUCAAGCUGCUAAGAUUCUUUCCCUCUUACACUCCCCCAGGAUCUUUGCUCAGAAUCAAUCUGCAUUGUGACUUACGGUACACCUGCACCAUCCUCUGAGUGACAGACCCUGUUGCCUGUCCAACUGCCAUUCCCUCUUUCUUCCUGGCUAGGAUCUUUUCUUUUGUUUACCUUGGGUGUUGUCAUUUAUAUUGCAGUUCUGUCAUAGGCAGUACUGUUCAAGAUGCAGUGGGAAUGCAGCCCAGCAGGUCUCAGCCUCAUUUUACUCAGCCCCUAUUCAAGAUGGAGUCACUUUGGUUCGAAAGCGACUGGGUAAAAUGAGGCUGACACCUGCUGGGCUGGAUUCCCAGGAGGUGAGGCAUUCUUAGUCAACAGGAUAUUUACAGUUAAGGGAACAAGUUAAUAAAGUUCACUGAAGAGAUUCAGGACUUAACAGACCCGGGAAAUAACAGAUCCAGGAAAUGUCCUGAUGUCCCGAUAUCUUAAGAACAAAAACAUUCUUGGUUUAAGAGUAAGUUUUUCUUUAAAAAUAAUAAUACAGAUUCUUGCAGAAGACAGUAGUUACACCAAGGUUAACAACUGUUUGUCAUAAGCCCCUGUAGCAGAGUACAUCUCCCUCAUGAUUUUGGGCUUAUAUAUAAUAUGAACAAGCAUUGCACCUAAGGUGUUUCCUCCUCUUGCUUUCAGGAGUGCCCUGCUCUGCCUGUGGAGCAGCCGUUCUUUCAGUCCUCGACUUUCUUAAUAAACUUGCUUUCACUUUUCUCUGUGGACUUGCCCCGAACUCUUGUGCAAGAUCCAAGAACCCUCCCUUGGGGUCUGGAUCAGUACCCCACUCCUUUCCGGUAACAGUUCUUCUCAUAUGUCUUGUGAUGCUUUGUGAUCUCUUUGCGUUUUUUAAAUUUUUUAUUUUUAAGACAGAGUCUUAAAAUAUGAUGGUGCACAAGACAUUUUUGAAGGCUUGGAGGUCACAGGAAGGGAUUUAAGAAAAGAAAAAUCCAUUCUUACACCUGAUUUCAUUCACUCAUUCAUUUAUUCAUUCAAUUAUGUGCCAAGCCCCUUCUGGAGAGAAUCAGCUGUUCACAGUGCAGCUUGCGAGGGGCUGCCACCCAGGCUCUGGAGUGCAGUGGGGCAAUCUCGGUUCACUGCAACCUCCACCUCCUGGGCUCAAGCGAUCCUCCCACUUCAGCCUCUCAAGUAGCUGGGACUUAAGACACUCACCACCAUGCCCAACUGAUUUUUAAAACUUUUUUUUUGUAGACACGGUGGCUCACUAUGUUGCCCAGACGGGCCUUGAACUCUCCUGGCCUCAAAGGGCCCUCCCACCUAGGCCUCCCAAAGUGUUGGGAUUACAGGCAUGAGCCAUCACGCCCAGCCAGAUGUUUUCUUAUAUAUGAACUUGUCUUCUAUUGAUUAACAAUUAAUUUUGUGAUUACAAACUCUGGUGCUGCGAACAUUCUGGGACAUACAUUUAUGCACAAGUAUAUCUACAGAAUAAAUUCUUUUUUAAAAAAAUUAUUAUACCUUAAGUUCUAGGGUACAUGUGCACAACGUGCAGGUUUGUUACAUAGGUAUACAUGUGCCGUGUUGGUUUGCUGCACCCAUCAGCUCGUCAUUUACGUUAGGUAUUUCUCCUGAUGCUAUCCCUCCCUCAGCCCCCACCCCCUGACAGGCCCUGCUAUGUGAUGUUCCCCUCCCUGUGUCCAUGUGUUCUCAUUGUUCAACUCCCACUUAUGAGUGAGAGCAUACGGUGUUUGGUUUUCUGUCCUUGUGAUAUUUUGCUGAGAAUGAUGGUUUCCAGCUUUACCCAUGUCCAUGUAAAGGACAUGAACUCAUCCUUUUUUAUGGCUGCAUAGUAUUCCAUGGUAUAUAUGUGCCACAUUUUCUUUAUCCAGUCUAUUGUUGGUGGACAUAUGGGUUGGUUCCAAGUCUUUGCUAUUGUGAAUAGUGCCACAAUAAACAUACGUGUGCAUGUGCCUUUAUAGUAGCAUGAUUUAUAAUCCUUUGGGUAUAUACCCAGUAAUGGGAUGGCUGGGUCAAAUGGUAUUUCUAGUUCUAGAUCCUUGAGGAAUCUCUACACUGUCUUUCACAAUGGUUGAACUAAUUUACACUCCCACCAACAGUGUAAAAGUGUUCCUAUUUCUCCACAUCCUCUCCAGCAUCUGUUGUUUCCUGACUUUUUAAAGAUCGUCAUUACAAAAUAACUUCUUAGAGGUAGAGUGUUGGAUCAAGGUCAUUGGAAAUGUCCUCUCUGGAGUAUGUAUCUGUGUGUGUGCACGUGCAUGUGUGUUUUUGGAAAGCAGGAUUGCAUACUGAGAAAAGUAUGAGCUCUGGGGCCAGGUUGCUGGACUCAUCACCUUUUCUCAUUUCCUUAAGCAGUGCUGUGACCUUGGGCAAGUUACUUAAGUUUCUGUGUCUUGGUUUUCUAAUGAGUAAAAAUGGGAAUAAUAAUAUCACCUUUCUUCUAGGGUUGUGAGGAUUAAAUGAGUUAAUUUGCUGAGAUUCAUGUCUGAUACCAAACACUCAAUAACCAUGGCCUGUUACUGAGUGUUAUUCUAGGUCAGACUUAGCAACACACUAAUCAGAAAGUCUACUGUUCUUAGCGGGCCAGUGCUGGAACUCCGAUGAGUUCAUGCGUGCCUCUGAGCACACCCACUGAGCGAGGAGAGGUGGUCCUCAGAGCCCGGAUGCAAGCCCAGGGCCUCCGCAGACCUAGAAAGUGGCUCUGAGCUUUCUUCCUCAGCGGUCUCCUGAAUGUGGCCGCUCGCAAGCUGCACUGUGAACUGCUGACUCUCUGUUCCAAAAGGGGCUUGACACAUAAUUGA